GGCCCUGUGGAAGCAUCCAACAUAAAAGUGAUAGUUCAGAGAUAUGCUUUGGGAAGGUUAAUUCAUCAGGUUAUAUGGGAAAUGGGGAAACAUUUGGAACUGUAUCGACAACUCAGGAGGUCAGCAAAUAAUUGAGAUCAGCCUUACUAUUAUAUUACCUUGAAUUGGUACCUGGAAGUCAGAUUCUGUGGCAUUGGAUUAGCAUAGGGUUAAGCUUCAAACCUGGAAUCCUUGGAUGUUGUGGGAAAAAUUUUGAACCAUUCAAGAACAAACUUCAGACAUGCUGUGCCAUCACCCACAAAUUCUCCAGUGUUUAUUUCCUAAGAACAAGAAUGCUCUGCAAUGUUACCAUCAUUCAACUGUUCAUAAAGGAAAUAACCAUUGAUGCAGCAAUACUAUCUAAUCCUCAGAUUCCCCCAGAAUUUUCUUCCCUGUAUCAAGCAUCGUUUUUCUUUCUAGUCCAGGAUCUAUUUCAAUAUAAAACAUUACAUUUACCUUUA